GAGAACGUGGUGUAACUGGAAAACAUCUCAGCUUACGAACCUGAAGAGUGAAGGUUCAAAUCCUUCCGUUCUCGCCA
rnacentral:tRNA from 1 species